ensembl:lncRNA
UAUCUCAUACAUAAGUAGCUUUUACCCAGGCAAAUUUGUAGUGCUUUUAUUUUGGUAACUUAAAAUAUAGAAAAGGAACAAACAUCAUUGUCUGAUUUCCACCACAAAACAUAUUUCAGUAUGUGAAAAAAAUGGAAUGAAUGUGCCUUAAUCAAUAAGGUUGUAAAAGCGCUUUUUAUUUUCAAACUUGCUUAAUGUAGCUUCUCCAGUACUUUUAAACGAUUCAGGAGCCUGAAUGGUGUUUCAAAAAUAAAAAAACGGGGGCGGGGCACAAUAAUUCUUUCCAGAAUAAUAAAGUGUGAAGAUGAGGCAGCAUGACAGGAUUAAGGAAAGUUCCUUUAAUGUGACAAAGAUGCUUUGUUUACCUAUCUGCACUACACCGCUGCAGCCACUCUUUCUCACGCAGAAGUAAAAUAACACCGAUCGCCACGAUGUCGCCCUUUUUUUAGCGUUGUACACAUCACUCUGAUCAGGUCGCUGAACUACAAUCCAUUGCUGGGAGGUUCUGCAGAACUUUGGCCAGCUUUCCCGAUAGCAUUUUGGUUGAUGCUAAGUGUAUUACUAUUAGCCUCUGUGCAGCUGCAGUCCUUCAUUUGUUCUUAUCUGAGCCACUAAAAAACACAGCAAUCCACGUUUUUAUAUGUUACUGGCAGCAACAUGGCACAGAGAUUUGGUUCGGUAUCAUCCCAAGUGAAAACUAAGUAGUUCAUAUCUCAUAAUAACGAAAAAAAGCUGCCUCUGGCGGAGGUCUUCCUGUUGUUUUGUGCAGAGUAGAGCUGCUUAAAGAGGCUCUGUGUGCUCUGCUGCCAACUAGCGGUCGGAGGGUGAAGUGGAAACAACAGUCAGACACUGAAGGACACUCAGAAAUAUUUAAAUAAAUAUCGUCCUGACAGAAUUUUGAAUCGAUGCAAGUAUCGCCAAAUGAACUAUCGCGAUAUAUUGCUGAAUCGAUUUUUUCUAACACCUUUACUGUAAAUUACAACCUUUGUGUUAUAUACUCUGCUAGAUCCUCAACAGUUGUCUUAAGAGAGUGGAGCAUGUUUUUGCUGCAACAGCCAUGUCACUGCCACUUGGUUCCCACCAUUAUCAGCAAACCCGAUGGAGCACCGUCCGGACAAUGCAGCCAGUCUGCAGUGGAUCAUCAUCUCUGUUUUUGUUCCAGGACACUCUGUGUAAGCACAUUUAUAAUUUCUUUUCUUGUUGAUCCAAACAAACAACAACAAAGAAAUUGCAAUACUUUUUUACAUUUAAAAACUGCUGAGGCCACAGGCCAGUGAGAUUUUCUAUCUAUAUCCGCUAAGUGGAAGCGGGUGGAGAGAAGAGAUUAGAACACAUCUAAUUAGUGCCGGGCAAUGUCUGAACUGGACGGUGGUAGUUCAGUAUUAAACGACUUGCCUUUUUUUAAAUUAAGAUCAAUGGUUGUGUGUUAAUUGAUUGAUAAUAUAAAAAAUUCUAUUCCUUAGGCCUGCACUAUAAACCAUCAAUUUAUUGUUAUUUUGAAGACAAGCUUUGCAAUACGCAUAUCGCUAUGUCUUAUGACAGCUUGAAGUAUUUAAUGAAUCAAAUAAAUCCAUUUAUGCAUUUGAACAAUUGGAUGGACCACUUUACAUCAUUGACCAAUCAGAUGGACCACUUAACAUCAUUGACCAAUCGGAUGGAGACCUUUUAUGUUAGAUGCUUCCUAUGCAGACAAGGGUCAUUUGGAGUAUAAUUUAAUUAUAUAAGUAUAUAUAUAUAUAUGUAUAUAUAUAUUAUAUAAGUAUAAUUUAAGCUGAUUUGACUCUUGUUUAAACUGUUGCAGUAAAAUGUAAAUGAUUUUUUUGGUUGUCUUGUUUAUGUGUCGCAAGUUAUAUCGCCAUUCGCAAUAUUCAUCACUAUUAUUGCACAUUGAGAGUUUUUCUCAUAUCGUGUAUCCCUACUAUACAUUUUACUCAUUGAACCAAUGGAAGCAGAACCAUAGAUCCCGUUUGAGUUGGGCUGUUCUAUUUGAGCCCGUUUAAAUAAAUUACUCAAGUUCCCACCUUUUCCUAAGUUACCUUCAAUUGUAGUUCUUGUGUGUAUACAGUAAACCCUUGUUUUUCGCGGGGGUUACGUUCCAAAAAGAACCCGUGAUAGGCAAAAUCCGUGAAGUAGAAAACCUUUUUUUUAACAAUUAUUAUACAAUUAAAUUCUCUAUUAUACAUUGAAAAGAAAGAACAAACCAUUUUACAGGCUCAAGCAUUUUUUUCACAAAUAAAAGUACUUUAGAAAAGGUUUUUCAACAAAUAACUUCUGUACUGUACUGUCAAAUAAUAAUUUGAAUCAUCGGUGUAAACAGAAGGCUUCAAAUCGCGGAGAUUAGCCCCGCCCACCGCGACCCGAGG